CGUCCGGCGUCGUCCGUCGUCGUCCGUCGUCGGCGUUAACUUUUUACAUUUUGAACUUCUUCUAGAGAACCACUGAAUGGAAUGAAACCAAACAUGGCAUGAAUGUUCCUUAUGAGGUGCUGACCAAGUGUUGUUACUUUGUAGCCGAUCCAUCAUCCAAGAUGGCCGCCAGCAGGGGACUUAGUUUAACAUAGGACCCUAUGGGAAAUGCAUACAAAUGACUUCUUUUAGAGAACCACUGAAUGGAAUAAAACCAAACAUGGCAUGAAUGUUCCUUAUGAGGUGCUGACCAAGUGUUGUUACUUUGUAGCCGAUCCAUCAUCCAAGAUGGCCGCCAUCGGGGAACUUAGUUUAACAUAGGACCCUAUGGGAAAUACAUACAAAUGUCUUCUUUUAGAGAACCACUGAAUGGAAUGAAACCAAACAUGGCAUGAAUGUUCCUUAUGAGGUGCUGACCAAGUGUUGUUACUUUGUAGCCGAUCCAUCAUCCAAGAUGGCCGCCAGCGGGGGACAUAGUUUAACAUAGGACCCUAUGGGAAAUACAUAAAAAUGUCUUCUUUUAGAGAACCACUGAAUGGAAUGGAACCAAACAUGGCAUGAAUGUUCCUUAUGAGAUGCUGACCAAGUGUUGUUACUUUGCAGUCGGUCCAUCAUCCAAGAUGGCCGCCAGCAGGGGACUUAGUUUAACAUAGGACCCUAUGGGAAAUACAUACAAAUGUCUUCUUUUAGAGAACCACUGAAUGGAAUGAAACCAAACAUGGCAUGAAUGUCCCUUAUGAGGUUCUGACCAAGUGUUGUUACUUUGUAGCUAAUCCAUCAUCCAAGAUGGCCGCCAGCGGGGGACUUAGUUUAACAUAGGACCCUAUGGGAAAUACAUACAAAUGUCUUCUUUUAGAAAACCACUGAAUAGAAUGAAACCAAACAUGGCAUGAAUGUUCCUUAUGAGGUGCUGACCAAGUGUUGUUACUUUGCAGUCGGUCCAUCAUCCAAGAUGGCCGACAGCAGGGGACUUAGUUUAACAUAGGACCCUAUGGGAAAUACAUAAAAAUGUCUUCUUUUAGAGAACCACUGAAUGGAAUGGAACCAAACAUGGCAUGAAUGUUCCUUAUGAGGUACUGACCAAGUGUUGUUACUUUGCAGUCGGUCUAUCAUCCAAGAUGGCCGACAGCAGGGGACUUAGUUUAACAAAGGACCUAUGGGAAAUACAUACAAAUGUCAUCUUUUAGAGAACCACUGAAUGGAAUGAAACCAAACAUGGCAUGAAUCUUCCUUAUGAGAUGCUGACCAAGUGUUGUUACUUUGUAGCCGAUCCAUCAUCCAAGAUGGCCGACAGCGGGGACUUAGUUUAACAUAGGACCCUAUGGGAAAUACAUACAAUUGUCUUCUUUUAGAGAACCACUGAAUGGAAUUGAACCAAACAUGGUAUUAAUGUUCCUUAUGAGUUGCUGACCAAGUGUUGUUACUUUGCAGUUGAUCCAUCAUCCAAGAUGGCCGCUAGCAGGGGACUUAGUUUAACAUAGGACCCUAUGGGAAAUGCAUACAAAUGACUUCUUUUAGAGAACCACUGAAUGGAAUGAAACCAAACAUGGCAUGAAUGUUCCUUAUGAGGUGCUCACCAAGUGUUGUUACUUUGUAGCGGAUCCAUCAUCCAAGAUGGCUGCCAGCGGGGGACUUAGUUUAACAUAGGACCCUUUGGGAAAUGCAUACAAAUGACUUCUUUUAGAGAACCAAUGAAUGGAAUAAAACCAAACAUGGCAUGAAUGUUCCUUAUGAGGUGCUGACCAAGUGUUGUUACUUUGUAGCCGAUCCAUCAUCCAAGAUGGCCGCCAUCGGGGAACUUAGUUUAACAUAGGACCCUAUGGGAAAUACAUACACAUGUCUUCUUUUAGAGUACCACUGAAUGGAAUGAAACCAAACAUGGCAUGAAUGUUCCUUAUGAAGUGCUGACCAUGUGUUGCUACUUUGUUGCCGAUUUACUGUUCAAGAUGGCCACCAGGAUAUUUUAUUAAAUAACAGGACCAAUAUUAAUCAAAAUUUGGCCUCAAUCAUUAUUUGGGUAUCUGUUAUGAUUUUUAUCUAUCUUUACAUGAUUUCUAAAACCAAAGUAGAGUCAGGUGAGCGACACAGGCUCUUGAGAGCCUCUAGUUUUUUAUACGACCGCAAAAAUUAAAAAUUUUUUGGUCGUAUAUUGGUAUGACGUUGGCGUUGUCGUCGUCCGAAGUCACAUUGGUUUUCGCAAUCUAACUUUAGUUUAAGUGAAUGGAUCUCCAUGAAAUUUUACCAUAAGGUUCAAUACCACAAAAGGAAGGUUGGGAUUGAUUUUGGGGGUUAUGGUACCAACAGUUAAGGAAUUAAGGGCCAAAAAGGGGCCAAAAAUAAGCAUUUUUGUAACUUCCAGACAUAACUUGUGUGUUAGUGUAUGGAUCUCUCUGACAUUGUACCACAAGGUUCCAUAUCACAAACGGAAUGCUGGGAUUGAUUUUGGGGGUAAUUGUUGCAAAAUUUUAGGAAUUAGGGGCCAAAAAAGGGGCAAAAAACAAGCAUUUUUCUAGUUUCAUGAUAAUAACUUGUGUGUAAGUAUAUGGAUUUUUCUGAAAUUGUACUACAAGGUUCCAUAUCACAAAGGGAAAGCUGGAAUUGAGUUUGGGGGUAAUUGCCCAAAACGUUUAGGAAUAAGGGGCCAAAAAGGGGCCAAAAAUAGCAUUUUUCUAGUUUCCAGACAAUAACUUGUGUUCAAGUGUAUGGAUCUCUCUGAAAUUGUACUGCAAGGUACCAUAUUACAAAGGGAAUGCUGGGAUUGAUUUUGGGGGUAAUUGCCUCAAAAUUUUAGGAAUUAGGGACCAAAAAGGGGCAAAAAACAAGCAUUUUUCUAGUUUCAGGACAAUAACUUGUGUGUAGGUGUAUGGAUCUUUAUGAAAUUGUACUACAAGGUUCCAUAUCACAAAAGGAAAGCUGGGUUUGAGUUUGGGGGUAAUUGCUCUAACCGUUUAGGAAUUUGGGGCCAAAAAGGGGCCUAAAAACAAACAUUUUUCUAGUUUCCAGACAAUAACUUGUGUUCAAGUGUAUGGAUCUCUCUGAAAUUGUACUGCAAGGUACCAUACCACAAAGGGAAGGCUGGGAUUGAGUUUGGGGGUGAUGAAUCAUAAGGGGGUUCAAAAAAUUUAGUGGAGGGAUUUUUUUUUUCUUUAAAAUUUUCCAUUUUAAAUUGGUUAUUU